UACGAAGGGGGCUAGCGUUGCUCGGAAUCACUGGGCGUAAAGCGCACGUAGGCGGAUUGCUAAGUCAGGGGUGAGAUCCUGGAGCUCAACUCCAGAACUGCCUUUGAUACUGGCGACCUUGAGUCCGGGAGAGGUGAGUGGAACUGCGAGUGUAGAGGUGAAAUUCGUAGAUAUUCGCAAGAACACCAGUGGCGAAGGCGGCUCACUGGCACGGUACUGACGCUGAGGUGCGAAAGCGUGGGGAGCAAACAGG
rnacentral:rRNA from 1 species